ACCCAGCUUGUGUGUGUGUGUGUGUUUUAGUAGAGACGGGGUUUCACCCUGUUGUUCAGGCUGGUCUGGAACUCACCCUGAGCUCAGGCAGUCUGCCCACCUUGGCCUCCCAAAGUGCUAGGAUUACAGGUGUGAGCCACUGCACCUGGCUUGUUUUAGUUUAUCUGUAAAUGGUGAAUGAAGCCAGGUAGUCUGGAGUGUUGCACCAGCAGGAGGUUUCCAUGUAAUCUAGUGAUGUAUUAGAAGGAACAUAUAGCCGGGCACAGUGGCUCAUGCCCUGUAAUCCCAGCACUUUGGGAGGCAGAGACAGGCGGAUCACCUGAGGUUGGGAGUUCGAGGCCAGCCUGACCAACGUGGAGAAACCCCAUCUCUACUAAAAAUAGAAAAUUAGCUGGGCGUGGUGGUGCAUGCCUGUAAUUCCAGCUACUCGGGAGGCUGAGGCAGGAGAAUUGCUUGAUCCUGGGAGGAGGAGGUUGUGGUGGGCUGAGAUUGCACCAUUGCACUCCAGCCUGGACAACAAGAGCGAAAGUCCAUCUCAAAAAAAAAACAACAGCAAGAAGGAACAUACUAUCACAACAAGAUGUUAAGGAAUAAUCAGUUUCACUAUAUAAGGUUGGGAUUUUAAUAUUCCAAAGAAAGCUCAAAAUGAUCUUUGUUCUCAGUGACAUGCAUUUAGCUAAAACUGGACAUUCAUAUCUUGAUCAGCCCAUUGUUACAGACUCUUUAUAUAGUCCCUUCUCCUGCCUUACUAGAAAGGGAAAGUAGCCUGUUUUAAUUUAGUAGGUGAUUGAUUUAGACAUAGUGGCUAACUCUAAACACAGUAUACAGAAACAGUUUAAUUGCUCUGUAGAAAUACAUAUUUGGGUACCAAUAGUCUUAUUUUUGUUUUGUGAGUGUAGGUUAGGUCUGUAAUUUUGAAUUAUGUUCCACAGAGCAGCUUCAGUGACAGAGGAGCCAGUCAUUUGGGGAUUUGGUUCUUUUCCUCUGUAAACCUAGGAUAAUUUUACUUAGGUCAGCAUGAAAGUACAGUGGUAUGAUUGGUCAAAGAUAUAUUUGAAAUAUUAUCAUAAGGUAUCAUAAAGAUUGGUUAAUCUUUAGGAGUCAAAGUCACAUUUCAAUUGCUACCUCCAUUGGUAUUUUUCCGUUAAAAGUUUUUGGGUUUUUCUGAGACGUGGGGUCUUACAGUUUGGCCAGGCUGAAGUGCAGUGGCUAUUCACUGGCACGAUCCCACCACUGAGUAGGCUUUAAGAGUUAAUACGUUUCAUUUAGGUUACAUUUUAUUAUUAAUCUGUGUAUUUGGAUUGUGGUCUUUCUUUCAAACAGAAUUCAAAGAAGCUUUUUCACUAUUUGACAAAGAUGGUGAUGGAACUAUAACAACAAAGGAAUUGGGAACUGUAAUGAGAUCUCUUGGGCAGAAUCCCACAGAAGCAGAGUUACAGGACAUGAUUAAUGAAGUAGAUGCUGAUGGUAAUGGCACAAUUGACUUCCCUGAAUUUCUGACAAUGAUGGCAAGAAAAAUGAAAGACACAGACAGUGAAGAAGAAAUUAGAGAAGCAUUCCGUGUGUUUGAUAAGGAUGGCAAUGGCUAUAUUAGUGCUGCAGAACUUCGCCAUGUGAUGACAAACCUUGGAGAGAAGUUAACAGAUGAAGAAGUUGAUGAAAUGAUCAGGGAAGCAGAUAUUGAUGGUGAUGGUCAAGUAAACUAUGAAGAGUUUGUACAAAUGAUGACAGCAAAGUGAAGACCUUGUACAGAAUGUGUUAAAUUUCUUGUACAAAAUUGUUUAUUUGCCUUUUCUUUGUUUGUAACUUAUCUGUAAAAGGUUUCUCCCUACUGUCAAAAAAAAUAUGCAUGUAUAGUAAUUAGGACUUCAUUCCUCCAUGUUUUCUUCCCUUAUCUUACUGUCAUUGUCCUAA
rnacentral:sRNA from 1 species